UGGCACCGGCGCACGGGUGAGUAACGCGUAUCCAACCUGCCCUUUACUAUGGGACAGCCCGUCGAAAGGCGGAUUAAUACCGUAUGUUGUCAUGUUGAUGCAUAUUUUCAUGACCAAAGGCUUCGGCCGGUAAAGGAUGGGGAUGCGUCUGAUUAGCUUGCCGGCGGGGUAACGGCCCACCGGGGCGACGAUCAGUAGGGGUUCUGAGAGGAAGGUCCCCCACAUUGGAACUGAGACACGGUCCAAACUCCUACGGAAGGCAGCAG
rnacentral:rRNA from 1 species